AAGUUGGAGGCCAUGUUGUGCUCUAAUCAAAAUUUUCGCAUACAUAUUAUAAGCUUGGUGCAACAGAUGCUAACAUCGAGAUGGUUCGUAGAAUCAUUUUAUUGAAAGUAACGGUUUGUUUUCUUUGAUCACUGUCAAACAAAUCCCUUAAGUAUUGUCCUUAAAGAAACUUAAAGGAAAGAAUUGGGCUUGAAAUUCAUUCAAUAUAGUUAGGAAGAUCUACGAAGUAUAAAAAUAAAAGUGAUCAUGGCCGAGGCGCAAGAUACAGACUUGGACAUUUUUGAGACACUAACAAAAGAAGAGAGUAUAGGAGACCAGAUUCAAGAGACUUACGGAAGAGGGAUUAUUUCAGAAAAUUUAAUCCAUUGUGAUACAAGUAAGAUAUCAAGUGACAAUGAAGCUUUUACAAAAAAUAGUUCCUGCAUUGUUUCUAACAAUAAACAAGAAGAUGAAAUACGGAGAUUGGAGUUGCAAAUUAUCGAAAAAAAUGAUGAAAGACGGAGAUUUGAGUUGAAAAUUAGCAAAAUAAACGAUGAAAGACGAAGAUUCGAGUUGCAAGUCCGUGAAAUAACAAUGUAAUACAGAGAUUGGAACAAGAACUAAAGAAAUGUAUGGAAAAAGAUCAAAAUGUGCCCGAAAAACGUGUUCAAGUCAAAAAGCGGCCGGAGGGGCAAGAAACAUUACAACAGCAAGCACUAAAAGAAAUUGGAGAACUACAAGAUCCAACAAUUUUGUGCUUUAAAAUUGUAUCGCUCAUACUUAGUGUAUGCUACAGCAGGAUAUUUGUAAAGAGAAAAUAAUCGGCAAUAAUCUAGGGGAUUGAUCGACUAACUAAAACAAUGAAUGACGAUGGACUGAAUGACAAGAAAUAGAGAAAAAUAUAUCAAUAUUUAAAGCAUUUUGUAAAACUGAUAGUUUAUAAUUUACGACUUUUUACGUUUAAAAUUGUUCCACUGAUAUAUCUUAUUUGAUGACUCACUAUUUUCCUCGUUUAUUUAUUGUUUUCUUUUAACAAUAUUAUAUACUAAGCUUACCGGCCCGUUUUA